AUAUAUCCUGAGUAAAUCGGAGUGCUACAAGGAUGAAGUAGGAAAAUUUCUCAAUAGAUAGUUGAACUUUGCCUAAACAAAACUGGGAUCAAUGAGAACAAAUUUACAGAACUAAAUGCCCUUAUAUCAGGAUGGAAUUCUAGGAUCCUUCAAAAAGAAAAUUUGCACCUUAAAAUGCAUAAGCAGAUCAAGACGCUUAUGAUUGAGCAUUUUGAUCUGAUCGUGCGUUUAAAAUUCUAAACAUUGAUCCCAAUUUUUCUAGGCCGAGAUUGAUUUAGUUUGUUGUUGAUAUUGCCUAGUUUGGAACCACGAUUUAAUCGUGAUUAUUUGGACAUUCUUGAAAUUUUCUCUUCCAUUUGGUAUCUCAGUGCUAUGAAUACUAAUGAGCUCUUUCUUGAGAAAUACUUGGAGCAGAAUAAAUCAAAACAUCAAGUAACGAACCUGUGGUUGAUUCAAAUUUAUGAAUUAUAGGCAUAUAUUCAUAUAUUGACGACAGAAUAAUGGGCACUACUCGACAGUCCCCGAUCAAUACAUGCUUUUAAUUCUUACAUAUACUUAAAGAAUUCUGUAAUUCGAGUUCAACAAUUUAUUGUCUCAACUUAAUUAUAAAUGCCUGUUGAUUUCCAUGAACAAGAUCAGUAGGUUAUAUGCUGUUAUAGCAGAAAAAUCAUGAACUAAUUAACCUGUGGUUGAUUCAUAAUAAUGGAUAACUCAUCUCUUUUGGUACACAGGUCUAGUUUUGGAGCCCUUCAAGGUUUUCUAAAUGUAGAAGCUGGAACGGACAACUGAUCUUUACAUGUAAUGUGUGUGUGUGUGUGUGUGUGUGGUAUAUACACAUCUCAAUUUUUGUCUUCAGUAUUAGGCAAGAUUCCACACACCUUUGGCAGUCCCGGUUGUCCAUUAAUGCAUGUGAAAUGUUCUGUGAGUCUUCCUUGGUCACCCUCAUUCAGAUGGAAAUGAGAAAAGUGAUAAGCUUGUUACAAUUCCAUUGGUCCCCAGAAGUGACAUCCAGCAAGAUAUGUUUUAGGAAUUAAUUUCCUUGUACUGAUGAAGUGUACCAGAAGCUUACAGAUGAUGAGGGUGGGUUGGCUGGUUUAAAUUUGGUUUUUGUCCAACAUUCAAUGAAAUCGUGCCACUGACAGUCUGUCAAACUGUGCAAAAAUCUCCAGCAUGAUUGAUGUUUUAGCCCUCCACCAGUGUCAGCUACUAUUUUAUAGCAUAUAUUAAGCAACAAAGACAACAAACAACAAAAAUAUGUGAACCCUUUUUGGUCAUUCCAUUCGGUUUAUUACUUAUAUAUGUACACAAGCUAUAUGAUAUACAUGCCAAAAACAGACAAGUUACAAAGAUUUAAUAUUUAUAUAUGCACACAAAAUAUAACCUAGAAGCUUCUUAACUAGGUUUUGGACUCAAGGAGAUAAUUAUCAUGGAUUGUAGCUAUAAUGAUAGGGAUUACUAUAAAAUUUGGUUGAAGAUUUUAAGAUUUAAGUUACUUAUUAUUAUCACCAUCUCAUUCUCCUUUAUCUCUCUCCAAUGUAUCAUAAAUUUUUCGCAUUGUAUGUACAUAUUCGAAUUCCUAUUUAUGUAGGGAUUGUAAAAAAGUAGUUUAAAAUUAAGAAAAUUUGGUUAAGUAUAAAUGUGGAGAAGUGACUUUCGUGUCAAUUUUAGCCAAAUAUUCAGAUUUGAUCUGAUGGUCAAAUUAUAAAUGUAAAUAGACUAACUUAUUCUACUUGUCAAGUAGAUCAUCACGAUAUUUUUGGAAUCUCAAAAUCAAUCCAGGAUGAAUGAGAAAUUGCGGUCCAAUUCUCAAAAAAAAAAAAAAGAAAUAGAGGAAAACUUGCAUGGAUUUUGCCUAACUCUGUUGCUCGCCUAUCGUUCCAGCUCGAGUAACAGGUUAGCGUAAAGUUAUGUUAAAAUUUUGGCACCGACACUCGAACGAAAAGCUAGUGACAAGUUAGCGACAACAAAUGAUGCUUUCCUUUGUAGAGUUGCAAGGUUUGGUACGCAUCACUUCACCCACAUCCUCUCAUCGUCUAUAAAUAGAACCUUUUGGACUCCCAUAAUACAUCCCAUAUCAUUUUUUGCAUUAAGCAUUGCAUAAAAUAUCUUAUAAAAACGCUUCCAAACCUAUUUCUUCUUGUAGAGAGAAGGCUCCGUUCUAAGUUCACUGAAACUUGUGGUUUGAAGUGCUUUUACCUUAAGUUGAAUUCAUUGUAUCUUGACACACAAGUGCCAUACACCAUUAGCACUAUUGUAGGACAAUAUUGUCUUAAGGAAUAGUGAUUGUCAUUUGUCUCGGAUCUCUUUCUUCUUCUUUUCUUCUUUUCUUGUUGGUUUACACAUUCUUCAAAAUUUGUUGUGUUUAAUUACGCUCUUGCGCAUUAAAUCUUUCUACUUCAUUGAUUCAUUACAAACAACCCUUUCUCCACCAUAUUUUGAACAACAAUUAUGUUAGUUUAUAGCCUUAAUUAGAAAAAAAUCCCCAGGUUAGUCUGGCGCACCUUUCUUGACCUCAUUGUUUGAAUGAAAUGCUACUCAAGGAACAAUUAAUUUGAUUACCAUUUGGUAUUUAAGUAAUCUAUUGAUUGAGUUUCUUUGAUGUUGGAAAUAAAUACAAGAUUAACAUCUUCAAGAAAAAAAGAUCAUCUUCAAAGGGCACACUUUCAAGGUUAAAAUUAUUAUUGUCUCUUCCACUGCCUCUCACUGGAUGGACAGCAGUACAGAUAUGUCCAUUAAAAUACAAUGUGAGGAAAAUGUCUUCAUUUACCCACAGAGAUAGAACGCGUGCAUCUUGCAUACGUAUAACAGAGAUUAUUCGUCAACAACUGAAUUCCAUUUGCCCUAAAAUUAUUUUCAUCCUAAAAGGCAUGGUAAUGCCUUGGCCUACUAGUUUCCUGAUUGUCAAAGAAGAGUGUACGAAGUCCACAACUUUCAAAAUCCUAGAUGCAUGUUAUAAAAGCACGGUGACCAAAAAUAUUGACUAGAACUAAUGGGAUGAGACUGUAAUAAAUGGUGACACUGAUGAUCUUUGUUUUUUUAAACAUGUAAAAGCGCCAGUUGGAUAAAAUUAUGAAAUUGAAAUUGACCUUGUGAAUGAGUUCAAUUAAAGUUUUAUAUGAUAAUGAAUUGCACAAGCUACUUGGGGUGACUAACAGCCCAAUCGACAUGUCUUUUUGAAAAGCUAAAAGGGCUUUUGACAUCCGAAAAUUGCUUUUGGAUCUAUUUGGCUAAUUUCAUGAAGAUGGUUCUUCAAGUUAGAAGAGUUUUUAGAGGAAACUAGUCAAUGUGGCUUCCUCUAAAAGUAUCUCUAGAAUAAGCACAUUUAAAAAUUAGUUUCAAACAAAAAUUUAGGUAGUUUCCUUCAAAAGUUCCUACGUAAAAAACAAAAGCCAUGCCAAAUGGGACUCUAAGGAAACGUUUUGACAAGUACUAGAAUAUGCCUUUCUAGCAGUCGAGAUUGACAUAUUGAAUACGGAAUUACAUUUUUUCUAUGCUAGAAAAGAUGUCUUACGUUAUAUUGCCAGUUACAAAGAAACUUCCUACUGCUAUUCAGCAUUACACGUAAAAGUACUGGUGUUUUACCUGAAUACCAGGGAUAAAAAUCAAACUCCGUAGGAUAACAGAUUGCAAUAAAAUGAAAACGAAAAAAGAAAAAUGAUAUAAUUACUCAGAAACGAAAAACAGUAGAUACUGCACAUAAUUUAGGCAAGUUUAUGAUGAAAGUUCUAUUUUGCACGAUUGUAUUAGGUAGCACGUAACAUGUUUCCACUCUUGUCAGUGUUGCUCUUGUCCCGAUGGUGUGAUGUCGUUUUGUACCACGGUAAAAGUCAUCGGGGUUGGUAGUUUGGUUCCAAUAAGGCACGAGCCUGAAUAAGACAAUCUAUGCAAUAAAACAAACUGAUCUGAGCCUAUUUUAGGCAGUAACAUAGUUUAAAGUGAGAAAUUAAGUUGGAGAAAUAUUGUAACUAACAUUCCCAAUUGCAUUCAACUCGAAUAUUAGGACUUCACUCGCGCCAUCUCUGCUUAUUUUCCUCCAUUAGGCAAAUUUAAAAAUACAUCCAUGCGCGUAUGAGUAUAAAUUGACGUGAACUUAGAAGAGAUUUAUGUCGACAAAUAAUGAUAAACUGGCAAUGUAGAUUGGAAUGAUCUGUUCGGGAUUAAAUUCCUUCAAGAAGACAGCAUUAUCAUUUUAUAUUUCUACUUGAAAUAUACAGUACCACACACAUACUCACCUAGGAGAAAAAGUAUAAAAUGAAAAGACGGAAAUUCUACUAGUGGCUGGAAAAAAACAGAGAUAUAGAUAAAAAGGAACAAGGCAACAGGCAGAGAAAAAUUACAAAAAUUAAUCACGUCGAUUUUUGGUGAUAUUUUUCCACAUUUAUUUGUUUAAUUCCUAUAUCGUGUUACGCUAAAUUAUUUAAAAGUUUCAUGAUAAAUUCAUAAUUUUGAAAUUAAAUAAAUAAACGUGAAAAGAUAUCACCAAAAAUCGACGUGAUUAAUUUUUGCAAUUUUUCUCUGCCUUCUGCCUUCUGCCUUGUUCCUUUUUCUUUUUGGUCUUUUGCCAGCUUCUGCGUGUAUCUAUGUCUCUGUUUUUCUCUAGCCGCCAGUAGAAUUUUCUCCGUUUUCUGUGCUUGUUUGUAUAAUUUUCUCUUUCAGCGGCCACUUCUCUUCCUCUCUCUUGUGCCUAUUACUGUGUGUUUAUAUAUAUCUAUACUUAACAGCAUGCAACCUUUUUCCCAGAGCAGUCGCCGAACUGGGCUUUAUUUUCCAACAGGAAUUUCAUUCCCAUUCGACUUUCGGUCACUUUUCAUUAGUUUGCAACCCAAUUAGUUGCAAUUUAUCCUUUGAGGCCUCACUUCAUUAUAAUUAAUUCAACUUAAUCCUUCAAUUUCUAACAAGUGGAGUUAGAUACCAAAAUUGCAUUUUUAUUUUCAUCCUUCUUUCUUUUUCAAUUGCAUCAUAAUAGGUUCAACAUUGAAGCAAUAGAAAAUUAACCAAAGUAAAAUUCAAUAAUUUGAUGACAUAAAAGCUUAGUAAUAUGGUCCAAAUAAGUGUUCAAAAUGCACUUAUCAUCGACCACUCCAGAUACUUGACACCAGGGCUAGCCUUGGCAGUGGCCUUGAGCCUCGGAUUUUAAGAUGGCCUCUCAAAAAGAAAAAGAGGAUAAAAACCCAUCUCAAUACAAAACCCUCAAAAUCCCUUAAAAAAAAUCAGUAUAUACAAUCUUCAAUACCAAUCGGUGAUUCGGCAAUCCCUAAAGGCUACAAGCAAAAGUUCUAGCUAGAAAUCCGAUUAUCCAACCAACCGAGUACUUCCUUUUUGUCUUCCUGUUGAAGUGUUGUGUUGAGGUAACAAACCCACAAUUUAUUUUUGGUUUUUAAAGAAAAUAAAGAAGAAGAGGCGGCCAAUUAUUUGAAGAUGUCGUACCAACAUGGAAAAUUGAAUAGCUAUAUAUACAUUAAACUGAAAAUUUUAUAUGCGCUAGCCUAUGAAUUAUUACAUAUAAAAUUGUUGAGGCUAGUGAAUCACAAUUUGUCAAUUUCUUUUACUUCUGUAGUUGGUAAUUGAUAUUUCUAGUGAUAAUGCAGUCGGGUGGAUUUGUAUGAGGAUUUUCCACUUUUUAUAUUGGUAUUUAUAUUCUCUGUUCUUCUUGAGGCAUAAAUUUGUAGUCAUGAAUUGUUGUAUUGACUUAAAAUUAUGGCGAGAUAUUUAUACUCUUUCACUCUCAUUUAUGAUUUAUAUCCAUGAAAAAUAUUCUUGCUUUUAGCCCAUUUCAUAUACACAAAUUUUCGAAUACUUAUUUUGUACUAGGAUAGAUCGUAAUAAAGUUAAGAGCAUACCCUAAUUUCUUUUUUCUAACUACCUUUAUAUGAAUUUUAACCCAUCUUUAACAAUUAAAUUAAAAAUAUAAUAAACACGACAGAUAUGAAAUAGUAUAUAAUCAAAAUUGGGGUUAAGUUGUCUAGCUAAAUUUUCAAUUACUACUAUAUUGAUUUACGCGUUGUUGAACGUAAAACAAAGAUUUUUGUUCAUAAUUACCUUCUCUAACAAUGUUCAUUAAAAUAUUAUAAAUAUUUAUUCCAUUACGAGGAUAUUCAAUUGCUUUAAAUGUAAUAUAGUUUUAUGCAUUACUUCUUUAAAUAUUUAUGCAGUGUGUUGCAGCAUCUUUAAAGCCUUUAUGGUUAUUAACAUGCCACAAGUUGGACAUAAAUGAUAAAACUGUAGAGAGUAUAUUUGACCACCAAAGUUGGCCCAGGCUCAGUUUAUUCUCACAACUCACCACAAUCCGACAAAGAAACGACUCAAGACAAGAUCAAGCUUCUACUUUCGAUUGCCAAAGAGACAACAUACUUAGAAGACCACAAAUGUAUGCAAUAUCUCAAUGAUAAUCGCCACUAAUGGUAGAAAACGAAAAGGAGUAGAGAAGUAGAAGACAGUGCAAAGGCUGAAACUCACAGAGAGAAAGAGAGGCUGGACGUUAUUCUUGCAAAGCAGAAAAGAACCAAUAUAUUAAACAAGUGGCCCAAAUAAGGUAAGUAACACUAGGGUAACAAGUGGGUCAAGUAGAGGCUCAAUAAGUUGACAAACAGGCUCCCAAGUAAAUCCUUUCAUUGUUGGCCAUCCAAAAAAGUGGGUUGGGCUACGAGCAACACUAAAAUAUUUAUGUUGCUUUAGAUGACCCAAUUAACUUUUAGAUCGCGUCAUCUCGAUUGUAGUGUUACAAUUCCCGUUCAGAUAUUUGGCUAAGUCGACUGAAAAUUAAAAUCAAAUAACAUCAUAGCCCGAGGAGGUCGUUUGACAACAAAUUGCCUAACAACCUCCACUUUGAUGUCAAAGGACUUGCAAAAAGAAAACAUCUCCCGUUUGUGACACCUCUAACAGAUAACCAAUAAAAUUAAAAAUCAUUUACUUGUACCGAUAUUUAGAAGAUCCUUACAACUUAUAAACUUUACCAGUUGUAGCACUUUCGUGCCCAUAUUUGAAGGUUUGUAUUGUGUGUGGACCUUUUCGAGUCUUACCACAUCUUGAGAUAUUAUAUAAUAAAAUGUAGUCUAACAUUAAUGUAUUUACCGAGUUCAUGAAAAAUAGGGUUCUUGCAUAAAUAUAUAGAUGAUUGACUAUUAGAAUACAUUAUCAUAUAAUCAUUCAAGACACAUAGUUCAUGAAGUAGACCUCUAGGCCAUAAAGCCUCUUUAAUUGUUUCAGUGGUAGCAAUAUAUUCUGCCUCAAUUGUGGAUAGUGCAACAAUGUGCCAUAACUGUGAUUUUCAAUCUAACACAAGAAUUAGAUAAGGUAAACACGUAAGAGGAAGUUGAUUUCAUAUCCUCCCUAUCUCCCGCAUAGCAUCCACAAAACCUUUCAAUUUCACAAAUUCUUUACUAGCACUAAACUUCAGACCUACAUUACCAGCAAUCCUUCAAGUAUUUUAAUAGCCACUUUAAGGCUUCCCAAUGUUCAAGAUCCGGAUUAGACAUGUACCUACUGAGAGUACUAACAGCAAAACCUAAAUCCGAUCUAGUGCAAACCAUCAAAUAUAUUAUGGAACCAAUCACAUUAGAAUACGUGAUUCUGCUUGUGUAUUUUAAUUCAUGUUCAUUGCAAGGGACUUGUUCUUUAGAUAAAACAAAGUGAUUAGUUAGAGGCAACGUGACAUGUUUGCAAUCAUUCAUAUCAAAUUUCUUCAAAUCCUUAGAGAUAUAUGGACAUUGAGGUAAAAACAAAGCAAAAUUUGCCCUAUCUCUUUUGAUUUCCAUGCCUAGAAAUCUCUUAGCCUUACCUAGGUCUUUGAUGUCAAAUUUACCACUUAACCUUGCUUUUAUGUCAUUCACCUAUUUAGGUGAUGGACCAAUCAAAAGCAUGUCGUCCACAUAGAGAAAUAAAAACAAAUAAUAAUUAUCAGUCUCAUUAUAUUGAAAAUACAAACAGUGAUCAAAUUUACUUCUUUGAGACCUUAUAAUGAGUACAAAAGAGUCAAAUUUUUUGUACCACUGUUUAGGUGACUAUUUCAAAUCAUACAAGGACCUUUUUAGAAAACAUACGUGAUCAUGUUUUAGCUUGUCCUUAAAACCUUUUGGUCGAUUCAUAAAGAUUUGUUCGUCAAGCUCACCAUGUAAUUUUUUUUUUUUUACAUCAAGUUAUUCAAGUUCCCAGUCAAAAUGCGCAACCAAUGAAAGCUUGACCCUAAUAGUAGUGUACUUAAUAACUGGUGAGAAAAUCUCACUUUAAUCAAUACCUUCAUUUUGUGUGUAGCCCUUAGCUACUAACCUAACCUUAAAUCUUAAGGGUUUCGAGCUAUUAAUACCUUUCUUAACCUUAAAGACCCAUUUGCAAUCGACAAUCGAUUUAUUCUUAAGUUUAGGUACUAGCUCCCAAGUCUGAUUCUUCUCUAGAGAACUCAUCUCUUUCAUCGCCUUAAACCACUCCUUAGAUUGAUCACUAUUCAUCACCUCUUCAAAGGUUUUUGCCUCCCUAUCAACUAGCUAUUCGUAACUAGCAUGGGCGAAGACUAACUCAGAUUCAUAUUCGAAUCUCCCAGGCUCUCUCGUUUGUCUCUUCUCUCUAUUCCUAACUAAGUUAUAAUUAGCUAAAAGAUUUUCUUUCUCAGGGUACUCUUUUAUUACUACUUCGUCUCUACCUCGUUUAGGGUGGUAAGGACAAUGUGCUAAGCUUUCCUAACUUUCGCUUAAAUCGAUCUCUCUCUUCACCUAGCUCAAUUUCACUCAUAGGUUCGAGCUCACCCUUAAGAUAAGGCAUCUCACUCUCAUUAAAUGUGACAUUCUUGAUAAGUGUGUUUUUGCACACUUAUUUAGGUCACAAAUAUGACUUAAUUACGAGUAAAAAGAUUGAAUUGUGACUUAAUCUCGUUACAUUUGUGAAUUGUAGGGAACACCAAUGAACAUGGUGAAAUUCAGGAGAAAAGAUGUAAAAAAGGACUAAAUUGAUGCAAAGUAAAAGUUCAUGGACCAAGGUGCAAUUACCCAAAAGUUGACCCGAUGAACAAAUCAAGAAAUUGAUUAAGCCAAAUGUCAAUUGAUGAUAUCUUGAGAUGAUGGACUGGAAAGUAUGAAGAAAAGAUGCCAAGAAGUGAAGGAUUCAAGUAGGAGGACCAAAAUGGACUUUUUCCACAGUUGGUAGCACUAUUGCGGUCCCUCUAUGUGGCCACAUAGAGGCAAACCGAGAAUUAUUUCUCACAAAUCAAAUGCUCUAUGUGAUCACAUAAAGAUGCUCUAUGCGAUCACAUAGAGAUGCUCUAUGCGGUCGCAUAGAGCAUUUUUUGGCCAAAUCCACAGUUUCCUUAUUUCGUUGAAACUCCUAUGGAAACAAGAAUUUUAGGGUCCUAUAUAAACAAAAACUCGACUAGAACGAAGGGGACGUCAUUUUUAGAAAAAAAAGAGAGAUUUUGAAGGAGAAAACAAAGAGAGAAUAAGAGGAAAACAUCGCGCCAAUUGAAGAAUUGAUUGAAACUUGAUUCGGGUGAUGACAUUUCUCCAACUAUUUUUGUAUUCUCUUCUUUUUAGCAUGUUAGGCUAGAUUUUCAUGUGCUAGGAGAUCGAUGUACCAUAUAAUUUGAUCUUUAAUUUUCUAAUUUUGUAAUUUGACAUUAAGACAUAUUUCUAUUGUUUUGAAUGAUUUAUAUACAAUUAUUGUUUCCACAAUUAAGGGCCCGUAAUUGUGUGAGUUUGGGUGAUUUAUUCUUGCAUUCAAGAGAAUUGGAAUAGGUUCGACAUAAUAUAAAUCAUCGUAGGAUCCGAUAGCGGAUAGAAAUAUACCGCUAUGCCCUACGUGAAUCUUUAAGUGUUCAUAAAAUCGCAUGCAUUUUUACAUAUGCACUUGUCAUAGAAAUAUAGGCCAGUGGUAUGUAGAAAUAGGUUCGAUACAUCUCGAGAGAGAGUAUUGGAUAGACUUAGGAACAUUGAUUCGUCACAGUUAAAGUGUGUUGUCACAUUGUGAAAUUAGGGUUUUAAAGUGAUAAUUGUAUGGAAAAUCGUGAUCCUAGUGUGUUUAAUUUCUAUUGAUUAUAACAAACAUGCGUUCUCAACAUUUGAUUUCAUUCUAGAGUGUUGAAAAUAUUGUUUUGCAUAUUUAAUUUAAUUCAAUCAUAAAAAUUGCAUAAUUAGGGUUUUCUUUCCAAAAUUAGGAUUUUAAUUAGAUUCACAUUUACUUUAGUAAUUUAGUUUCGGUUAAGGCAACGACAGGUAAAAUUGAACUAAUCAGUCUCUGUGGGACGAUAUUCGGACUCAUUUAAUUCACUUUAUUACUUGUUAACGAACCGUACACUUGUGAUAGUUUUAAAUCGAAAUAAAUAAUUUCAUGAACAAGUUUUUGGCGUCGUUGUCACAGGGAUUGAAAUUUAGUUUAAUUUUAUCUAUUUUGAUACUAAUUCAGACUUAUCUAGAUUAGUAGUAGUUAGCUUACUAGACUUAAUUUCUUGUUUACUUUAAUUUAAUUUUGUGCUAUCUCAAGGCUUGUAUGCAAAGAGCACCUGAUCGAAACUUGGUUCCCAUUGAUCCAGAGAUCGAACGCACAUUUCAUCACAGGCAAAGAGAAGUGAGAGUAGCACAACAAAUUCAAAAAGACCAAAAGCAGCAACAACAGAUGGCUAACGAGCAAAAUCGUCCGGUAAUUUACCUCAACGAAGGCCCAGGAAUUGAAGAUGAAGGGAAUAUGAUACUUGGGGACUUCAUGACACCAUUAGUGGUCCAGAGUCAAUCUAGCAUUGUGUAUCCUCCAUUUGGGUAAUCAAACUUCCAGCUGAAAACAAAUGUAAUUCAAGUAUUUCAGAAUGGGCAUCAAUACCACGGGAUGGCUAGUGAGAAUCCACAUACACACAUAUCCCGAUUUCUGGACAUGUACCAACACUUUAGGUACCAGGGUAUCUCAGACAAUGCUAUAAGACUUUGUUUCCACACACUUUGCGGGAUAAAGCACUUGAAUGGCUGGAUUCACUUCCCGUCGCAAAUAUCACCACUUGGAACGAGUUAGCCCACAAAAUUUGCACGAAGUUCUUCUCGCCAGCUAAGGUAGCAAAAAUGCGGCAUGACAUCUCUAUAUUCAACCAAGGCGAGUCUGAAUCAUUUGAAGAGGCAUGAAAUCGCUUCAAAAAUGUGUUAAGGAAGUGUCCUCAACAUGGAUUUGAUAAGAAGACACAAAUUCGAUUUGUCUACACUGGAUUACUUCCAUCCUUCAAAAGCAUGGUGGACUCAUCAUCUGACGGGUCUAUCUCCACAAUAACAAUUGACGAAGCAUGGGAACUGUUUGAGAGAAUGGCUACAACUUCAGCCAUGUGGUCUACAGAUCUAGUGGUUCAGAAGAGAACACCGAGAGUUUAUGAAGUAGAUACUUAUUCAGCAUUAUCCGCGAAGAUAGAUUCCUUGUUCCAUAAGGUUGAGAGCAUUUCACAGACCGCCAAUGCAAAAUAAGAAGCCAAGCUGUGAAGAAUGUGGUGCAGACCACAAUACUGUCAACUGUCCAAUUCUCACACAGGGGGUCGAACAUGCAGAUUUUGUGUAAUGGGGCCAAUGCCAACAGAACAAUCCACAUUCGAAAACCUUUAAUCAGGGCUAGAGAAAACACCCAAACUUCUCAUGGAGCAACCAUAAUUAAAACAUACCACAAGGUCAAUUUCAGCAGUAGGAUAAAAAGCCACCAUUAUAAGAGAUAUUUGAGAAGUUCAUGGCAACGACUAAUCAGUACAUGGAGGCCAACAACUAGUUUAUGUGAAAGACAAACGCAAUUCUCCAAGACCAAAUUGCUGCAAUAAAAAAUUUGGAGACGCAAAUGGGACAUAUGGCAAUCUCCAUAACAGGUAGAGCACUAGGAAACCUACCCAGCAACACUGAAAUCAAUGCACGCAAAGGCUAUAACAAUCAGAAGUGGAGUACAACUACCAGAGAUACAUGUAAAAAGAUUGGUAGCUAGUAAGGAAUCAGGACCAAUCUCAGAUGAUGAGAUUGUGGAACAGAUUGAACAAACAAUAGGGGAUGUUACCAGGAAGGGUUCCAAUACAUCACGGGGUACAGCUACCAAUUCUAUCAACCCUCAUGAGCCACCUAUUCCAUUCCCCCAGAGGUUGAAAAAGCACAAAUUGUAUCAGCAAUAUAGUAAAUUUCUUGAAGUCUUCAAAAAAUUACACAUCAACAUCCCAUUUGCUGAGGCAAUUGUUCAGAUGCCUAGUUAUGCAAAAUUCCUAAAGGAUAUCCUCUCUAACAAGCGAAAGAUAGAAGAAACGAAACAGUGAUGCUAAUUGAGGAAUGCUGUGAUAGAAUCCACAAAAAGCUCCCACCAAAACUGAAAGAUCCAGGGAGUUUCACUAUCCUUCGCACAAUUGGUGAUUUUAAUUUUGAUAAAGCAUUGUGUGAUCUCAGUGCGAGUAUUAACUUGAUGUCACUCUUUGUUUUCAAGAAACUAGGAUUGGGAUAGCCUAAAGCAACCACAGUAACUCUACAGCUAGCUGAUCGAUCACUUACACAUCCACGAGGGAUUAUUGAAGAUGUAUUGGUCAAAGUGGAUAAACUCAUAUUCCUAACAGACUUCUUGAUUUUGGAUAUGGAAGAAGACAAGGACAUGCCUAUCAUAUUAGGACGACCAUUUUUGGCUACUGCAAGAGCCCUAAUAGAUGUGUAGCAAGGACAAUUAACUCUAAGGUUGGGGGAAGAACAAGUCUCUUUUAAUGUUUUCAAGGCAAUGAAAUACCCCAACGAGCCUGAAAGCUGUUUCCAGAUUGAAGUGCUUGACAUAGGAAUCCCCUAUAAUUUUGAGUUGAAGAAACAACCAACAUUCAUGAGGCCUGUAUAAUACACUCUCCAUCCAUUCUUAUCGAUUCAAAGGAGAUUAAGGCAUUCAAUGUGGGAUUUCAUACUGAUGAGGAGAGAAUAACAAACCACUUGGAGAAAGACAGGGAUGAAAUUCGGAGGAUAACUGCAGUGCUGAACAAGACCAUAUUGAGCAAACUAUGCAGGACCUCCCAAGCCAUAUUUAAAGUGCUAUAAAAUACCUGUGCCAAAAGUCGAGCUAUCGACUAUAAAAUAGCACUGAUUGGGAGGAAACCCAACGUCUCUACCCUUUAUUUAUUUCAUUUUGCAUUAGUCUAGGAGUUUUUCAAAUUUUCAACAUUUUUAUUAGUUUAGGUCAUUGUUCAUCCAUGCAUGUCCAUAAAUAGCCUAAGCACAAUCCACACGAGUCCCAAUACAUUGAGCACGAGGCAUAAGGUUGAAGUCCUAUUUUAGUCAGUCAUGGGUCAAAUUGAACAAAGUGCAUGAUUAGAGCUAAACUUUGUUGGUGAUUCACAUUUUUGUGAUAUGAACUUUAUAUUGAGACAUAAUUUAUGCAUCUUACACGCCAACAGUGUACACAUGCACCUUGAAAUAAGUUUGGGGGAAUGGUGCGUCACAUGGAUUUCUUCAUGCACACCCAAGUUUAUCAAUUAUCACCAUAAGAUAUAAUACACAUACUUUGCACUUUUGUAGGAUGUCGCCAAAAAGACCUCAUCAGGAAAAGAGAAGGUUGGCUCCACAUAUGGCAUUGCAGGUCCCGAUUUUCAACCACCUCCAUACCGAUCAGGGGAGUACUAGUUAUCCAAUCUCUUGUGCUUUCAGUUUAUUUUAUCCCUCAAUUAUAUGUAUUUGAACUUCUACUUUAUUUCAACAAUGAGGGCAAGGUUAUGUAUAAGUUUGGGGGGUGGCAUAAUUUGAUAUAAAUGUGGUAUUUAGAUUUUGGAAUCCAUUUAUCGUGUAUUAUUCAUAUUCCAUCAAUACAUUUGCUUAAUUGUUGCAUUUCGUGUGCUUGUUGAGUGUUAUGAAUAAUAAUAAUAAUAAUAAUAAUAAUAAUAAUAAUAAUAAUAAUAAUAAUAAUAAUAAUAAUAAUAAUAAUAAUAAUCUGCAUAGGUUCUUCAUUUUACUAUAUUACUUGUUUUAUGUGCUUGAUUGCCUUGUCGGCUAUGAUGAGAUUAUUGGAAAAAAUAUUCAUAAACUUUGGAUAUAGUACUGAAUAGAUUAAGCACUACUUGUGAUGCAAUACUUGACAUUAUUUAUGCAUGCUAUUCAUGCUUGACAUGUUAGGUGAAUGACUGGAUUUUGAGCAUGAAGUAGGAAAAAAAUGAUAACCCUCUAUUGAAUUAAAAUGUAAAUCACCUUAAGAUAGUUUGUAAUUGGUUGAGCUAUUAUAGGGAGCAUUAAGAGAAGCGGGGGCUCCGUGCAUGAAAUUUUAUUGUGUGGAUUGCCUAGACCAGUGAGGUAAAUAUUAGGUGAAAAUCUUAAAUUAGGGGUUGGUUUUGGAAACUAAAUGUCUAGAACAAUAAGGGCAUAAAAUUAAUUUGUGAGAAUAAGACACUUCUUUUCAUGCCUUUAUGACUCGAGCAAAUAAGUCUGUAAGGAUAUUUCAAAAUCUGGUGCCCUAAAGCCAACCGGCCUGGGAGUCUUAGGCCCAAAGCUCAAUACAUGGGUCAUAUAGAAAGUAAGAGGGAAAGAGAUUAAUAAAAAGUCAUCUAAUCGAGCUUUUAUAACUCGAGUGAAUAAGCUUGCAAUGGUUUAAAACCUGGUACCCUAAAGCUAAUUGGUUUGGGAUUCACCGGCCUAAAACUCGCUAUAUGGGUUAUAUAGAAAGCAAAUGAGAAGAUGAUGAAAAAAAAGGAAAAUUAGAGAAAAGUGACAAAAACAAAAGAAAGACAAUAACAUGAUGAAAAACCUUUGGACAUUUGAUUGAAGAAACUAUACCUUUGAAGCGAGGCAAAUAACCUAGUUUAAUCUUGAGUGUCGAAGAAAUAAAACAUAGGAGAGCCUUCACUUAUUGAAAAGCAAACUUGUGAUAGUGAGAUUAAUCCAAACUACGAGAGGGUGAGAACUACAGCUAUGUAAAUUCCUAAUCUUAAAACACAACCCCGAAAUAAUUGAGUGAAAAGAAUAAGUUUGGGGGUUGUGUAUCUCUCGAGCAAGUAAGAAUACAUUUGACCACUUGGGGUCGCGACUCAAAGUCAUCAUGAACCUGAUAUGUUGGCAUGAAUUCACACACACAUGUCAAUUUGCAUUUAACAGGUAAAGGUUGAUGUCAUUUUUGCACUGAUAAAUUUUCAUAAAGUCAAAUACGUAGUCCAAUCCUGAGCCACAGUAGGGUAUUAAGUCAUGUUUGUUCAAAAUUAAGUAACUAUGUUGUUUGAGAACAAACAACAGUUCAAGUUUGGAGGGUUUGAUAAGUGUGUUUUUGCACACUUAUUUAGGUCACAAACGUGACUUAAUUACUAGCAAAAUGAUGUAAUUAUCCAAAAGUUCAGGACCAAUGUGUAAUUAUCCAAAAGUUGACCCGAUGAACAAAUUAAUAAAUUGAUUAAGCCAAAUGCUAAUUAAUGAUAUCUUGAAAUGACGGAAUGGAAAGAAUGAAGAAAAGAUGCCAGGAAGUGAAGGAUUCAAGUAGGAGGACCAAAAUAGACUUUUCCAUAGUUGGUAGCACUAUUGCGACCGUAUAGUGCUACCCUCUAUGCAGCCGCAUAAAGGCAAAGUGAGAAUUAUUUCUCACAAAUCAAAUACUCUAUGUGACCGCAUAGAGAUGCUCUAUGCGACCGCAUAGAGCAUUUUUUGGCCAAAUCCACAGUUUCAUUAUUGCGUCAAAACUCCUAUGGAAAUAAGAUUUUUAGAAUCCUAUAUAAACAAAAACUCUACCAAAACGAAGGGGGCGCCAUUUUUAGAAGAAAAAGAGAGAUUUUGAAGGAGAAAACAAAGAGAGAAUAAGAGGAAAACAUCAUGCCAAUUGAAGAAUUGAUUGAAACUUGAUUCGAGUGAUGACGUUUCUUCAACUAUUUUUGUAUUUCUUCUUUUUAGUAUAUUAGGCUAGAUUUUCAUGUGCUAGGAUAUCGAUGUACCAUGUAAUUUGAUUUUUAAUUUUCUAGUUUUGCAAUUUGAUAUUAAGACAUAUUUUUAUUGUUUUGAAUGAUUUAUAUGUAAUUAUUGUUUCCGCAAUUAAGGACCUGUAAUUGUGUGAGUUUGGGUGAUUUAUUCUUGCAUUCGAGAGAAUUGGAAUAUGUUCGACAUAAUAUAAACCAUCGUAGGGUCCGAUAGGGGAUAGAAAUAUGCCGCUAUGCCUUACGUGAAUAUUUAAGUGUUCAUAAAACCACAUGCAUCUUUACAUAUGCACUUGUCAUAGAAAUAUAGGCCAGUGGUAUGUAGAAAUAGGUUCGAUACAUCUCGAGAGAGAGUAUUGGAUAGACUUAGGAACAUUGAUUUGUCACAGUUGAAGUGUGUCGUCACAUUGUGAAACUAGGGUUUUAAAGUGAUAAUUGCAUGGGAAAUUGUGAUCCUAGUGCGUUUAGUUUCUAUUGAUUACAACAAAUUUGCGUUCUCAAUAUUUGAUUUCAUUCUAGAGUGUUAAAAAUAUUGUUUUGCAUAUUUAAUUUAAUUCAAUCAUAAAAAUUGCAUAAUUAGGGUUUUCUUUCCAAAAUUAGGAUUUUAAUUAGGUUCACAUUCACUUUAGUAAUUUAGUUUCGGUUAAGGCGACGAUAGGUAAAAUUGAACUAAUCAAUCUCUGUGGGAUGAUAUUCGGACUCAUUUAAUCCACUUUAUUACUUGUUAACGAACUGUACACUUGCGGUAGUUUUAAAUCGAAAGAAAGAAUUUCGUGAACAAUCCUCAUGAGAAAAAGCAGCACAGUCAAAGGUCCUAAGUAUAGAGUAAUCAUUUAAUUUACUAGACCACCUCUCAUACGGAGUAUCACCAUUUAAAGUAGCAGAUGGAGUCAAAUUAAUCAAAUAACAAGCAGUCAUAACAACUUCAUCCCAAAACGACUUUGGGACACCAGAAUUUAACAUCAUGCAACGCACUUUAUCAAGUAUAGUUCUAUUAAUCAUUUUCGCUGCCCUGUUUUGUUGGGGAGUGUAAGGAACUAUCUUAUACCUUGUUAUUCCAUUUUCUUUAUACAUACUAUCAAAUUCAGUGUUACAAAACUCUAGGCCAUUACCAGUCUUUAAAAUUUUAAUCCUUUUGCCAGUUUGAUUUUUCACUUGUCUUUUCAAGUUAUUAAAGCUCUAAAAAGUGUCAGAUUUAUCUUUUAGAAGAUAGACCCACACUUUCCUCGUGUAAUCAUCAAUAAUAGAUAGGAAAUACCUAUAUUCACUCGAUCUGGGAUUACUAGCAGGACCUCACAGAUCAGAAUGUACAUAAUCAAGCAUACCUUUAGCUUUAUAAAUACUAGUGGAGAAUGAUGUUUUAUGAUGCUUAUCAAGCACACAGUGAUCACAGAAUGACAAAUCAAACACACAGUCAUUACCAAAUGUACAUUUUUCAUUAAGAAGCAUAAGUCCAUUAAUGCAUACGUGUGCAAGUAUAUUAUGCCAUGUAUGUGUGUCAUCAACAUUUGUAGAAGAGAUAGAGUUCAAACCUCUAAUCACUUCCUCAAUAGUAAUGUAAAUGUCGUUUUUCUUAGUUUCCUUACUAGAAACUAAUGCAACCUUAAUCAUUAUAUGUGUGUGAUCAAUUUUGGUAGAAGAGAUAGAAGAGUUCAAACCUCUAAUCACUUCCUUAGCGGUGAUGUAAAUGUCAUUUUUCUUAGUUUCCUCAAUAGAAACCAAUGUACCCUUAAUCAUUCUUAACAUUCCAUUUCCAAUUUUACUAGUUAAGUCAUAUUUUUCAAGUCUUCUUAUCGAAAUCAAUUCCUAGACAAUUCAGGAAUAUAUCUAAAGUCCUUUAAAGUGUAUACAAAAUUAGUGUCGAAUUUUAUAUUAAUGUCGCCAAUUCUAGCAAUCCUAUAAGCAAAGUUAUAACACAGGACAAUAUGUCCAAUAUUAUAUUCAUUCAAGUUUUCAAAUCAAUUCCUUUUAGAUGUACAUGAAAAGAUGCAUUAGAAUCAAUUAUCCACUCAUGCAUGUAGGAAUUAGCAGUUAUAUUCAGUUGAGCAAUAUAUGCAACGGGACUUGUACUAUAUAGACCUCACCCUCAUCUUAAUCGAAAGUAGAGGAUAAUAGGUUGACCUCGGCUCUCUCCUUAACAUUUAGCUUACCCUUCUCCUUAUGAUAAUCUUUUAUAAAAUGCUAUGUAUUCCCACAGUCAUAACAUUUUUUAUUCUUCUUUCUAGAUUUUGAUCUAGACCUAUCAUUAUCCUUCUUCUUCCAUCCAUUACUACUAUCUCACUACUACUUUGGUAUCCAUCAUGAUUGUUUUGCCUAAACAAAGUGCUAACCCGCAUCAUAUGUAACUCACCGUUUCUUUUAUCAUAUUUUUUAGCCCUAAUUUCAUCUCUUUACUUCUAAGAAAAUCUAUGACAAUUUUUGGCAUCAAGGUGUCCCUACUAUACCUUAUGGUAUUUUUAACUUCCUUAUAUGAGUUAGGAAUAGAAUUGAGCAAGAGUUUCAGACACAGCCUCCUCACAGUUAACAAUAUUUUGCACCAAUUUAUUAAAUACAUCUAAAUUGUCAUCAAGAUCCUUUAAAGGAUCCACUUUAGAGCUGUAAAAAUGUUCAAGCAGGUAAAGUUCAUUCGAUAUAGAUUUGAGCAAAUACAGAUUUUCCAAUUUUUUUCAAAGUUCUUUGGUGGUUUUCAAUUUACCCACCUUCCUCAAAAUGGAGUUAGAUAAGUGUAAAAUGACUAAGUUAUAAGUAAGCUCAUCGGCUUCUUCCUUUUGUUUUUUUGAAAAAUUAGUUGAAAAUUUGCCUUUAAUAGUUUUUGAAACUUUUUGUUGGACCAAAAUACCCUUCAUCUUUGUUGCCAGAUUGAAAAUCACCUUUUUCGUUAAAAAUUCCCAGAUCAAAGUUGUUAGUUGUCAUUUUCACAGAACAACCAAAAAUGUACAAGACACAGUCAAACCACACAAAGUAGUCCUAGGGUCACAGAUAAAGACUCUGUUCUAGAUUCCUAGGGUUUUGUAAGACUCAUGGUCUUAGACUAAGUGAAUGUUUGAACGGGUAAGGUGUCGAUAUUCUAACGAAAUUAAUAAGCAACGAAAAUAACAAUGCAACAAAAAAGAAUAUGUCUAACAGAUAACCAGUUUCAUGGCAAUUAUAACACUAAGAAUCAACACGCUGAUUUAACCAAAAUAUAAGUACUCAAUCAAACAGUUAAGAGCACGUAAUCCUAGUUUAUAGCACAAGCAAUGUUAUCCUUUCAUGGUAACCACAUAUUCUAUUGUCACCCCACAGGUGAUGCGCUAAUGCUGGAAAUUAAACGCGUUAAACCAAGUUACCAGAGCAGACCUAUCUAAGUCCGUAGAGUGGAGAGAUGUAAAUUUGCUGCUUUAGAGUCACCAUUGUUCACCCUAAAGAUUCAGAAAUGUACCAAUUCCAAUCAGCCACAAACGUAGAUUGAAGUCCAGGGAUAAAAUCGUCCAAAUUUUCCCGCUUAACCUGAGACACUAAACCAAACAUAUCAGUACAUUCAGGAUGCUAAAAUAAGUAAUCUAAACAAAAAAGUCUCGCUGGAAACCCAGUCACACGCCGUCACCUACCUUACUAGAGACGCCUUGACCUGUGGAAAUGGGUUCGGCCUCCAUUUGUCCAACGAAGGUCUGAUUUGAGAGUAAUUGAGAAUUGCAGAUUCGGGUGCCUUGAAGAAAUUGGCCCUUUCUUCCAAUUUUGGCCGAAUUUUUUGCUAGAUUUUGCCAACCCACACUCUGAUACCAAAUGUAGAGAGUAUAUUAACCACCAAGGUUGGCCCAGGCUUAGUUUAUUCCCACAACUCACCAUAAUCUGACAAACCAACGACCCAAGACAAAACCAAUCUUCCACUUUUAGUUGCCAAAGAGAUAACUUACUUAGAAGACCACAAAGGUAUGCAAUAUCUCAAUGAUAAUCACCACCAUUGGUAGAAAUCGAAAAGGAGCAGAAAAGUAAAAGAAAGUGCAAAGGCCGAAACUCACAUAAAGAAAGAGUAGCAGGGCGUUAUUCUUGCAAAUAAGGAAAGACCCAACAAGUGGCCCAAAUAAAGUAAGUAAAACUAGGGUAACAAGUGGAUCAAGUAGAGGCCCAAUAAGUAGACAAACGGGCUCCCAAGUAAAUCCUCUCAUUGUUGGCCAUCCAAGAAAGUGGGAUUGGCCAUGAGCAAUACUAAAAUAUUUAGGUUGCUUCAAAUGGCUCAAUUAACCUUUGGAUCGUAUCGUCUCGAUUGUAGUGUUACAAUUUCCGUUCAGUCAUUUGGCUAAGCCAAUUGAAGAUUAAAAUCGAAUAACAUCAUAGCUCGGGGAGGUCGUUUGACAACAAAUUGCCAAACAAAAAUAUUAGUAUAUUUUUUUAAAUAACAUAUAAUACUGCCCUCUUUUUAUAAUAUAAAUCGAUGCGUCUGAAUGAAGAGUGUUUCUAGUAAGGAUUUGUACUUGGACUAUAGAUAUUUCUAUAUGAAAUUGAUCAAGCGAAUGCUUUCUACUCUAAAUGAAAACUCACCACUAAUUACGAACAUUGACAUAUUUUCACUCAUUGACGCUUGUGAAUAAAUCCAUUAUUUUGUAAUGUCUAUUAGAUGGAUCAUGUUGAUAACUUUUUACCAAGUCAACAUCUCUUUGCAGUAUUUACAUUAUGCUUUGUGCUCUGGCCAUCUAUCACAACUGCUCUAAUGGCUACCAAUUUGAAGUGUUCACAACACUUAGCCUUUUUUCUUCGUUCAUCAUUAUGGUGCAAACCUCUUGUCACCGUUUCAUUAUCUUAUUAAUAUCAUACAAUUAAUUGGAUUUGUACUCUCAUGAUCAUCACCAAAUAUCAAGAAAUUGAAACUUCAUGUAGACACCAAAAUCGUGAUCUAAUGGCGAAAUAGUUCUUGGAGUGCUAGAAACGCCAAAGAUUUCGUUGGAGUCACCUGUUUCCAUCAACAUAUUGUGAUCAAUUUGAAAAAAUAUAUGAAAGAAAGAUAUAAAAUAAUAGAAUUUAUGCUAAAUUGGACAAAAAUGAUUCAAAAUAAGUAGAUUUUGCCCAUGUAUGAUGGUCAUUAUUUAGAAAACGUAAUAUUUUGAAUAAUGAUUUUUAGGAUAAUAUGAGGGUAAAAAAUAGGAAAUAGUUUUGAAUUUACGUGUAAAAUAUUUUAUGGUGUGAAUGUUGGUUGAAAAUGAGUGUGUAGAAAAAAAAGUUUUCAAAUAAUGUUUGUCAAACAAGGCUUUGAGACAAAAAGUUUAGAUUGACCCCCCCCCCCCCACAACAAAAAAAAAAAGAAAAAAAAGGGAAAAAAAAAGAGAGUAAUAUGAAGUUUAUACCAAUUGUAAAUUUAAGGGAUCGUGUGGUUUAAAUAGAAAAAGAGUAAUCGAUUGAUUUUUUCAUUUUUUUUUUAAUUUUUUUUAAGAUUUGAACGUUGGGCAAACAAAUGGUCAAAAAAUAAUAAUAAUUAGGGGCAACUUACACAAAUACUCCUAAAAUUAGGGAUUUUUUUGAAAAAAAUCAGAUAAAGAGUAUUUUGAAAGUAAAAAAAUGUGCAAAGUCAAAUCCCAUAAUGUGCGGCUUCUAAUUAAAAGUAACAUGAUAUGACACUUUCUCUAUCAUUCAAACUUUAUCCACAUUUAAUAAAAAUAAAUAAAUUAAUUAAAUCAACACAUAAAUAUUCGUUCAAGAAAUUCUUAUAAGUAAAUUGAGAGCAUAACUAAAGAUGUUGAAUGUUCUAUUAAAAAAUUGAUUGUUUGCUACAUUUUGAUUAAAAAGUGGCACAACAUGUCACUUUUUAAGCCAAUGUAAUAAAAAAAUAUAUGAAACCUCAACAAAGAGGUAAACCUAACUCGAAAAUUUAACAUAACAAAACAAUAAUGAAUUGAAAUUAUUGCAAAUCAGGUGUAUAAAUUUUUAUUAUUUUUUUCAAAUUUGAUUUUAAAGAUAAAUUUAAAGUAAUUGCAAUAUAUAACUUUAAAAAAAAAAAGUGUUGAAGCAUGUCACACUGUGUAACUUUACUUUUCUUAUUAAAAUAUUUGACAAACUCAUAACGUGUUUAUGAAAAUGACAUUAAAAUGUUGUAAAUGAUAAGUUUAUUAGGGCUUAUUAGUGAAUGACUAUUUUACCCCUACAACCCUAGAAAUUAUUAUCAUUGUAUCCCUGAUUCUUACCUAUAAAUAUAGGGCUUUUGUUCUUAAUAAAAUAUAUAAAAAUUUAUUGACUUUCAUUCUCUCUUUUCAUAACACGUUAUCAGUAUGAAAGUUUAAUUUUCAAAGUUUAGUGAAGGUAGUAAUUUUUUAUAAGUAUAAAUAUUUAUUGCAUGUACCAAAAUUAAUUAUGUGACAUGUAGAUUUUUUUUUUUAAUAUACAUAUGCAUCAAAACGAGGUUGCUUCUUCUUUUACUUCUUCUAUGCUUUUUUUUUUUUUUUUUUUUUUUUUUUUUUGUUUUUGUGUGUGCGCAUGCACUUGUACUCAAAUCUAUAAUGAUUAUUUCAUUAUAUGAAUAAUGAUUACUUAGUCCAAUUUACAUGUUUAUUUAUACAUUUUUUUCUUUUUUUACUUAUAUAUUUUUUUGUUAAUAAUUUUCUAUUUAAAUUCGUAUCAUAUCUAUAUGUUAAUUAAUUAUUUUUAGAUAUUCUUCUAUAAGCUUUAAAUUGAAAAUUUAUUGUAUUAUUGCUCCUAAAGUGACACAACAUUAUAAUUAAUAUUUCAGAAGAAUAUUAUUUGCUCCUGAAAAGUAUGAGUUAUAAUUUUCAAUAUUCUAAAAGAAUAUUAAUAUGUUGCUCAUGAGGAAGCACAACUCCAUAAAUAUUAUAUUUUCAUAGAAAAUAUCCUUUUGAAGAGUUAAUGUUUUCUAAUUAAUAAUUUGUUGUUAUUUCUGAAGUAGCAAACUAUUGUUUAUGUUUUAGUAAUAUUUUUCUUGCUCUUGAAGAACAUAAUUAUAAAUAAUGUUUUCAUUCCCGAAGAGUAAAUUCUUAUAUAAUAUAUUAUUUCAAAUAUUAAUAUGUUAUUGUUCCUGAAAAGCGUGACAUUAUGAUUCCAAUAUUUUAGAAGAAUAUUGCUCUUGAAAAAGUGAUAACAAAAUACAACUUUCUCUUGAAACAGUAGAUGUUUUGAAAAAUAUAUCAUGCGUAAUUUAUGUAUUUGUGUUUAUCCUUAAAGAAAAACAUACAACAUAUUUCAUGUAGACAUUGAUAAUUAUAUGAUUAUAUAAUUUUAACCACAAUCUUCAAAAUUAAAUAAUUAGAUUAUAUCUUAUAUUGAAGUAGAAGUUCAAUUAGAUUGGCAUGACUAGUUGGAUCAUCAUUGGAUCAACAAUGAUGUGAAAUCAAAUGUCAAAUAGACAUCCAAUGAAGAAUCAGAAGAUUCUUUAAUCCUAUGAAUUCCUAUAUGUUAUUUGUUCUUUUUAUUGAAAAUUGAUCAUUAACCAUAACUAGCUAAAAUAGGGAUUGGAUGCCUUAUAUUUCUGAAAAUCAAUUAGGGUGAUAAAUGGGACCCUAUCAUCCUCCAAGUUGAUCAUCUAAAUAUUAUUUGUAUUUAAUAGAUUUGAUACAUAUACUAGAUGGUUAUAUAGUAUUCGCAACCUGAAGUUUGCAAAAUUACUGUUUCAAUUUUAAAUUAUGAGCAUAAUUUUCAGAUUAUAUAAUUAAGACAGUGUCUUGUUAAUGCUAGUAGGUAUAAAUCUCAACAAUUUUAAUAAGUAUUAGUUGGGAUGUCGAUAAAUGAUUUUAUAAUAUUGUUUAUUAAAUGCCUCCAAUUAAUUUAAGUGAGAAUAAAGUAUUUUUCAUUUUUAUUUAGAAAAUUCUAUUACGCAUCAUACCAAAAUCAUAGUUCUCCUUAUUAUAAUUAGUAUAUGAUCAGAACCUAAUUUUUUCAUCUAAUUAUUAUGAUAGUGUAGUAUAUGUAAAAUUAAACCACCAUAGUGCACAAAUAUAUAAAAUAAAGAAUACUGAGAAUAAAUGCAUAGUUUGGACCAUUAUUCCAAAUGGAUGAUAUUUUAUAGUGCUAAAAAAAUGAUAGUCAAUUUGAUUGGACAAUUCUUUCAACAUUAGAUGUAUGAAUUAAGAAGUUGAAAAUAAUGUAUAAAUGCAUCACUAUCUAAAUCCUCGCAAAAUAUCAUUUGAACCAGAAAUAUGAAAGAUAAUUUAUUUAGAUUCAUUUACUGAUCAAAGAAAUAAAAAAUAUCUCACACACCAAUUUUAAAUGCUCCAACACGAAUUGAUGUCCUAUGAGGACAAUUUAUUAGCAUUACAUUUGAUAUAUCUAUGGCAUGCUUGAAACGUUAUGAUAUUCGAUUCUAAUAUAAAAAAUCUUCAAAUGAAAAUCAAGAAAUUAGCAAAGAUGGUUUCAUUAAGAUUGCAUAUACUCUUGAUGAGUAUUUGAUAUAACAAAUUAUAAAACAUCAAAAGAGGUUCAAGUACCUGAAAUAAUGAAAUUUGAGAUAUUUUAACAAGUGAUGUCAUUAUGGAAAAAGAAAUAGAAUAAAAAAUUUUAAAAAAAAUUGUCGACAACACUUUUGCAUAUGAUGAAUCAAAAUAAAUAUUUCGAAAUAUAUCAAUCGAAGUAAUGUUGACAAAAUAAAAUGGAUGCAUUUAGUAUAAUUGUCUUAAUGAAUAUUUGUUGAAAGAAGGCUAUAAAAAUGAUGAUGUAUGUCCAUGUGUUUUCAUAAAUAAAAUAAAAUGAUAUAAAUUUAAUUAGAACUCCUGAAAAGCUCAACAAAAUUACUAAUUUUUGAAAAAUGAAUUUCAGAUGAAAGAUUUGGAAAAAAUCAAAUUUUGUCUCGAGUUGUAGAUUAAACAUUUCUCAAAAUGAUUAUUUGUCAUCAAUCUACAUAUAAAAAAGUCUUAAAAUAUUUUUAUAUGAAUAACGUACAUUAUUCGCAUUACUUAUGGUUGUUCGAUCACCUGAUGUGAAAAAGAUUCAUUUCGCCCACUUGAAGAUGGAGAAAUAUUCUUGGUCUUGAAGUACCAUAUAUUAGUGCGAUUGGAACAUUAACUUAUCUUGCGAAUUGCACUCAACCCAACAUAGUUUUUUCUGUAAAUCUCCUCGUAAGAUAUAGCACUACAUAAGGAUGUUAAUGAGUCGAGCCGAUACGACUCGUGAGCCCAAAUUCCUAGCUCGGGCUCGGUUCAGGCAUUUUUAAGGCCAACAUUUUUUGGCCCGAGUCAAGUCGAGCAAAAGCUUGGCAAAAAAAUUAAGGCUUGACCCAAGCUGAUUUGGACCUUAGCAGGCCAACUCAAGCCAACUCGAUUUUCUGGAUUUUUUUUCAUUGUCUUUCUUAGCUGCCAACAGGCAGCAUGUUUGCUACCGGUUGGGCAGCAGACCUGUUGCCUUAACCGGCAGUUUAGCUGCCAAAAAGGUAGCAAACUUUUCCUUUUUUUACGGGCCGAUUGAGUCACGAGCGGCCCGAGUCGACGAGCCUGAUUGUCAUCCCUAGCUCUACCUCAACUCAAAGACAUUGGAAUGGUGAAACAUAUUUUUCAUUACCUAAAGGACACUGUUGAUUUGAUAUUAUUAUAUUUUCAAAACUCAGGAUUUGCUUUAGUGAGAUAUGUAGAUGUAGAUUAUCUCUUUAACUCACAUAAAACUAAAUCACAAACAGAAUAUGUGUUUAUACGUGGAGGAGUAGCUAUAUCAUGCAGAUUUAUGAAGUAAUCCUUGAUAGCAUCAUUCUCAAAUAAAUUUGAAAUUAUUGUAAUCCAUGAAAUAGGCCACGAAUGUGUAUGGUUGAUGAACAUAACCCAUCAUAUCCAAGCAUCAUUAAGGUUAACUUCAACAAAAGACAGUCUAAUAAUUUUGUAUGAAGGUAAUACAGCUUGUAUUGUACAAUUCAGAGGAGGCUAUAUCAAAGGUGACAUGACGAAGCACAUUUCUCCAAAAUUCUUUCAUACACAUAAGUUUUAAAAGAAUGACAAUAUUGUUGUCCAACAAAUUUGCUCAAAUGACAAUGUGGCUGAUUUAUUUACAAAAGCACUGUUGACUUUUACAUUCAAGAAAUUGGUUCAUAAAAUCGGAAUGUGUCGAUUCAAAUAUUUCCAGUGAGCAAUAUCAUAGGGAGUAGCAGUACCCUUUUUCCUUCGCUUAAAUUUUAUCCCCUUGAAUUUCCCUAAUAAGGUUCUAAUGACGCAUCAUUUUUUUUAUUUUUUUAUUUUUAACUCUAAAAUAACUGUAUUCUUUUUCCUUCAUUUGAUCUUUUUGUCCCAUUGGAUUUUUAUCAAACAAGGUUUUAACGAAACAAGUAUUUUGUAACGAGUCAUGCAAUGAGGAAUAUUAUAAAUGGUAAGUUUAUUAGGGUUUAUUAGUGAAUGACAAUUUUACCCCUGCAGCUCUAGUAAUUAUUACCAUUGUAUUCCUGAUUCUUACCUAUAAAUAUAGAGAUUUUGUUCUUAAUAAAAUACACAAAAAAUUAUUGAAUUUUAUUUUAUCUUCUCUUCUCUCUUUUCAUAACAAUAAACUAAUAUUUAGAUGUUAUUAUAAAUUUAGUGUCGUGUUAGAUGUGAAUUAAUACAAUCGCGGGGGAAGGUGACAUACUAUUCCACUUCUAGAUAUGAUUUAAGGUUUUGUAGUCUAGCCGGUAGAUGGCCAUAGGGGCCGAAUGGGUGCACCUGUCAAGAGAACUAAAAAAGUUGAAGAACCUAACCUUGCAAAUGGAAUAAAUCUUAACAAUAAUGAGAAGCAGCCUCAAGAAAGCAGUACAGAAGAGAAGGAUAGUGUGGUAAGCUAUUGCCAAGAUGCUAAUUGAUUCUCAUAGUGCAGAUAUUUAAAUAUUUUUUUGAAAAGUUUUAUUUUUUUAUAUAAGAGUAAAAGGACUAAUUCGAAUGUUUUUCAGGAGGUUAGAACCAGCAAGAGAAAUUUAUUUUGUAUAAUAAAUGUUUUCCUGGACUAAGAAAGAAAAUAUAUUUUCAAAGGUGUCCAAUUGCUAGUCUUUUAAAAAAGGAUAGCUAGUUGGGAAUUUAUUACAAUUUCUUUAUUUCUGAAGCAAAUAACGUUCAAGAAGCAAGGGAAAAAUUUCUUGAAAGACUCAUUUCAUUUUCAUCGUCCUUAUUUUCUCUAUAUAUAAACAGCUGCACGCUCGCGCGUGCGAGCAUGCAGAUACAUAUAUAUAUAUAUAAUGUGCAGAAAAGUUUGGAUUCAAUCAUAGAUAAAUAAUGAAAUUAAAAAUUUAAACCUUAAUUUAUAAUUUCCGUUAAAAGUUCGAGGCACUGCGAAAAAUCAGGUAAAAAGUUUGAGAUCAACUUAGUCCAUGGCUCUUCUCAAAACGGAUUCAAGCCGUCCAUGAAUCGAGUUGGGACAAGUCGAGCCAAUGAUCUGAAUAGUAGAUUGAUCCAUUUGUCACUCCUAAAUAUAUUAGGUAAAUUCAAAAAAACUGGGUAAUCCAAAAUUUUUGUGUUGUAAUACAUCGAAUUCAUUUUAAUUCAACAAAUUAGGCAGGCGAUAGAAAUUUUUCUCCACAGAUGACAUAUAGAGGUUAAAAACGUGAAUUUUUUUUAUGUUAGGAAAAAAAGGGAAAAUUGUGGAAAGCUAAGUGUGCUGGCAAAUGCAACAAAUGGCUUAAGACGUGUCAGUUUGGGAUUAUUAUUAGCAGCCAUUAGAUACUCAGAUGCACUUAAAUUUAUCUAAUGAUGGAUAGAGUGUUGGAAAUAUGGAAUAUGUUUCAUAAGAAGGAAUCACAUUAUUUAAAAAUUAAAUACCUCACAAAAAGAUAAUAUUUUUUUUUUUUGAACACUUUUAUGUGUGGAUAGAAUUUAUCUCAUGACAAGCUCAUUGCGCAAAAUCUUUCAAAAUGAUUAGUAGUGAGAAUUGAACACGAUCUUUCAUAGUUUUCAUUCAUGUUUAUAAAUUGUUUAUAAAUGUUGAAGUGUUGCUGACUUAUUCAUUACUCAUUUUUAUGUAUUUAUAAUUAAAAUUGUUUGUAAGGACUUCUAAAAUUGUAGUAAUCAGUAGACAAAACUUAACUUACAUGCAUAAAAAAAAUUAAAAAAACAUUGUACAAGAAAGAAUCAGACAAGGUUGUGGAAGAGUUAAAAGGUGAUUAUUCCUCAUAUUAGAUCAUUAUCUAGAAGUCUUCCAAAAUCCUCUAAAAUAUGCUAUGAAUCAUGUUUUGAUAAGUACCCAAAUUUGAUCCCAAAUAAUCAUCUGUACCUCUCCUAUAGAUUCACUUAUUCCGAAGGUAGGUUUCUUGUAAUAUAAAAUAAUAAAAGGGCCAAAUGGAGAAAAAAAUUAUACAUUUAGUCCCCAACUUCUAAAAUCGCACUUUUGGGUCUGAUAUUUAGCAUGUUUGGCUAAGUUAGUCCUUUUGAAUAUGAAACCGUCAAAGAAGAACAGAAAAUGAAAUAAAAUGGAGAAAAGACCAUGUCAUCUUCUCAACCCAACCCCGCCCACUCCUUUUUAUUUAUUAAAAAAAUAAUCUGUAAGGUUUCUCCAUUAAUAAUAUGAAACACAAAAAAUGAUAGAAAACAUAUGAUGUAAGGUUUCCCGGUAUGAAAGUUACUUCCAUCUGAUGUUGUGUUUGUGAAUUCGCACUUACCUAUUUUCUCUCUAUUAUAACACCACGAAGAAUGCUCACCUUAAUGCUUUUUAUAUAGGAGAAAAAUGUUAUGAAAACCUAAGACAUGUGUGAAUUGUUCAAGUACCCCUAUAUAAGAUGAAAAUAUUAGGUUGAGAGGAAAAAUGUACAAUUUAUUAGGCUACACAUCUGACAACUCAACCGUACCCACCGUACCUCACAUGACACCAACCUUCCUGCCUAUGUCUGUAUUUAAUGCUUGAAUAGAGGAAUUUGGUAUAAAUAGUAAUUUGUAAACAUGCUAAACGUAGACCAUUCGAAAGUGCGAUUUUGAAAGUUGAGUAUUAACUAGUAAGUGACUGUAUAGGUUGGGGACUAAAUCUGAUAUUUCUCAAAAUAAUUAAGAAUCACCAUUGCAGUCAUUUUCUUAAUUAUCAUCAUCAAAUAAUAAUUGUAAAACUAUCCAAACAGUUGUUUUUGAUUAGUGAGUGUCCAACAAAUGGCAAAAUAUGGAAGAAAUGGACACCGCAACUGAACAAAAAAAGAUUCUAUUAAGGAACUAGGGUUAAAAGCAUGUUAACUAUUGAUUCCUAUUUUUUAAAACUCAUUUCCCUUUAAAUUUAAAUUCAUUUUUAAUUACAUAUUCUCUCAUUAAACCAAAUUCGUACGUAAACUCAAAAAAUUUCUCGAUUUUUUAAUAAUACAUUAUCUAAAAAUCAGUUUUUACAAAAUUUACUCUUAAAAAAUGAGAGUCAAACAGGAGUAAUAAGGAAAUAUAGAAUAGCAGGAACAUUUAAAAAUGUAUUAUUAAAUUAGAGGGAAAUAGAGAUCAAAAAAUAAUAUUAUUAGGUUGAGAUGCUCUUUCAUUUCUUCUUUCAUUGAAUCUAAUGAAAGCAAUAUGGUCCCCUUUCUUACUAUAAUCUACACUUUGGUUUGGUUGAACCACUUAGUCUAGAUUUUUAACUAUUAGAAAGAAGCAUAUUAUUCAUUUUUUUCCUUCAACAUACAUGUGUAGGCUGAUUAAAAGUAUCAAAACAUGUUGGAUUAUCCUAAUUUGUACCACCUAUCGGCCUUACGAGUCUACAAAAUGUGAUGCCACCAAGUUCUGAGCUCUUGUGUAAGCUAAAUUAGAUAUGACAUACACGUUGAGAAACCUCGAUUUGGAGGACCUAUUGACCCAAUAUGUCUAGAAAAUGUCAAGCCUAUUAGGGUCCACAAACAUGUCUUAUACAUAUCACACUAGGGACCAAGACUUAAUAUAUAUUUCCUUUUUUAUGUUUUUGUUAUUAUUUUUCAAUAGGAAACUAAAAAUAUGGCGUGAAGAUUUGAAGACUCAAGCCAUACACGCUUUACAAUUUGGAUUGAGUUUAUCUAUUCCCUCAAAUACCUAACACAUAACAAGUGACCACAAGAAUUAAAUUCGGAAUCUUUAAUAUUUCUAUACUACCACCUCAAUUCUAAGCUAUAACAAAUGUCUUUGGCCCAUCUUUAGAUGCUUUCUCAAAUAUUCAAAUUGUAAUUUUACACGCACGUAUUGUUGUGUGUGCACGAUACCUAUUAGAGUCCCCACCCCACCCUUUCAACCCUAAAGUUAAUAAAUUCUCUUAAAUUAAUAUAUAGGAACUUUCACCAUUACAAACCUGUGUACAGUCUGCUAAACUUGAGCUUGAGGCGUGACAAAUAUUCAAUUUGAAUCUAGCAGGUGAGGACCACCUUCAGCAUCUAUACAUUAUUGUUUCUAUUAUAUGCUUAUCCUAUGCCUUUCCUUCACCAAUUUUUUAUCUUUUAUCCACCAGAACUCUAUUCCCCUACAAAUCCCUACUGUUUCAUACUUCUAUUUAAACCCCCACAUGCUCUUCUUCUCUAGGUACAAGAUGAAGAAAAUACUCUUUGUAGCUAUCUAGGUUUCCUUUUCCUUUAUCAAAAUACCCUAAUGGGAUUUCAGCAAGUUGCCCUGGACUUUAGUCGGAGAUUAACAAAUUGCCGGUUUUUUAUCGUCAUGCACUAGUAUGAGUUAAAGCUGCCAGCGUGAUCUAAACGUUUCUUCUUCGUUGAGGAACGAUAAGAUCACGUGGUUGCUUCAUCUGAUGCUGGUGGCAUGAAAAACCCUAUUUUCUAAUUCAAUCAUAUAGGGUAUUCUAUUUGUUGAAAGAAUGGUAUGUAGUUUCCUUAUUGAAUUGUUUAUAUGUUGGGUUCACCUGAAUUUUGAAUGCUUUUUGACAGUUAUUGAACGUUUAUUUGUUCGUACACCGGUUUAUGGUUUUGUUCCUUUUGGUGUAAUUGUUUGAUUUAAUGGAUUCUUAGUAUUUUUUGACCGAAAUUUCGUGGAUCUCUAGACGUGCUGUAGGAGGUGAGCCUUGAUGUUUUAUACCUAGUUACCUGUACAAUUUCUGCAUAUCUGUUGCGUGCACUCUCUUUUUUCAUAUAUAGAACAAUGAACUGAUUUCAUUAUUUCUAUGACUUAUAAUUUUGAGAAACCCUUUUGUUUCUUAGCGUUUAUUCAUUUCUGAUGAAACCUAUGGAGUAGGGGUUUUACAUGCUUUUCUUUUUUCUUUUCUUUUUUGAACAUUAAUUUGUUAAGAGAAAUUUUGUAACUAUCUGCUCAUUUUUGUCUCAUUUUCUGAUUAAUCCUAAGAAUUGAGAUUCUUAUGAUAGCUUGUUAAUUUACAGUUCAAUGUUUUUCUUGAAGCCAGAUAUGUAGGUCUGUAAUUUUAUUGACAUUUCGUCUUUUAAUCUUAGGGUCGCUUGAUUUAUGUAGAUCUGACAGCUUAUGUAUUUUCUGGUGGUUGUUUAGUUUUCAAGACAGCAUAUGUAUUUUCUGGCAGUUUUCCUCAUAAGUUUUGCAGCUUGGCAUUUUUGGACGACACAGUUGUCUAAAAAAUGCGUACCAAAUCAGAACUAUAUUUACAUAUCCUGAGUAAAUCGGAGUGCAACAAGGAUGAAGUAGGAAAAUUUCUCAAUAGAUAGUUGAACUUCGCCUAAACAAAACUGGGAUCAAUGACAACAAAUUUACAGAUCUAAAUGCCCUUAUAUCAGGAUGGAAUUCUAGGAUCCUUCCAAAAGAAAAUUUGCACCUUAAAAUGCAUGAGCAGAUCAAGACGCUUAUGAUUAGAGUUCCUGGGACAGUUGGUUCCUUUACUGUUUUCUGAAUGUAGAAACAGAAUGGGCAGCUCUCAGCUCAUGAAUCCAUAUCAUUUAAGACUGCAC
rnacentral:lncRNA from 1 species